rnacentral:rRNA from 1 species
GACGAACGCUGGCGGCGUGCUUAACACAUGCAAGUCGAACGGAAAGGCUCCAGCUUGCUGGAGUACUCGAGUGGCGAACGGGUGAGUAACACGUGGGUAAUCUGCCCUGCACUCUGUGAUAAGCCUGGGAAACUGGGUCUAAUACUGGAUAUGACCUUUCUCCUUAUGGGGUUUGGUGGAAAGUUUCUCGGUGUAGGAUGGGUCCGCGGCCUAUCAGCUUGUUGGUGGGGUGAUGGCCUACCAAGGCGACGACGGGUAGCCGGCCGGAGAGGGUGAUCGGCCACAUUGGGACUGAGAUACGGCCCAGACUCCUACGGGAGGCAGCAGUGGGGAAUAUUGCACAAUGGGCGGAGGCCUGAUGCAGCGACGCCGCGUGAGGGAUGACGGCCUUCGGGUUGUAAACCUCUUUCAGCGGGGACGAAGCGUAAGUGACGGUACCUGCAGAAGAAGCACCGGCUAACUAUGUG